rnacentral:rRNA from 1 species
AGAGUUUGAUCCUGGCUCAGAGUGAACGCUGGCGGCAGGCCUAACACAUGCAAGUCGAACGGCAGCGGGUCGUAGCAAUACGAUGCCGGCGAGUGGCGGACGGGUGAGGAAUACAUCGGAAUCUACCUUGUCGUGGGGGAUAACGUAGGGAAACUUACGCUAAUACCGCAUACGAACCAUGGUUGAAAGCGGCGGACCGCAAGGCGUCGCGCGAUUGGAUGAGCCGAUGUCCGAUUAGCUAGUUGGCGGGGUAAAGGCCCACCAAGGCGACGAUCGGUAGCUGGUCUGAGAGGAUGAUCAGCCACACUGGAACUGAGACACGGUCCAGACUCCUACGGGAGGCAGCAGUGGGGAAUAUUGGACAAUGGGGGCAACCCUGAUCCAGCCAUGCCGCGUGUGUGAAGAAGGCCUUCGGGUUGUAAAGCACUUUUGUUGGGGAAGAAAAGCACUGGGCUAAUACCUUGGUGUCAUGACGGUACCCAAAGAAUAAGCACCGGCUAACUUCGUGCCAGCAGCCGCGGUAAUACGAAGGGUGCAAGCGUUACUCGGAAUUACUGGGCGUAAAGCGUGCGUAGG